rnacentral:rRNA from 1 species
AUUGAACGCUGGCGGCAGGCUUAACACAUGCAAGUCGAGCGGAGAGAGGUAGCUUGCUACUGAUCUUAGCGGCGGACGGGUGAGUAAUGCUUAGGAAUCUGCCUAUUAGUGGGGGACAACAUUUCGAAAGGAAUGCUAAUACCGCAUACGUCCUACGGGAGAAAGCAGGGGAUCUUCGGACCUUGCGCUAAUAGAUGAGCCUAAGUCGGAUUAGCUAGUGGGUGGGGUAAAGGCCUACCAAGGCGACGAUCUGUAGCGGGUCUGAGAGGAUGAUCCGCCACACUGGGACUGAGACACGGCCCAGACUCCUACGGGAGGCAGCAGUGGGGAAUAUUGGACAAUGGGCGGAAGCCUGAUCCAGCCAUGCCGUGUGUGUGAAGAAGGCCUUAUGGUUGUAAAGCACUUUAAGCGAGGAGGAGGCUACUUUAGUUAAUACCUAGAGAUAGUGGACGUUACUCGCAGAAUAAGCACCGGCUAACUCUGUGCCAGCCGCCGCAGUAA